AUUCCAGUCAGUGAAUCUGCUUACCUGAUUGUGUUUGCAGAAAUUUUUUAGAACUGGCAAUAGCAAUGCCAUGUCACAAGCCUUAAUGACACUAGGGUUUUUAAGGCCCCUGAAAGUGGCUACAUGA
ensembl:snoRNA